UACGGAAGGCAGCAGUGGGGAAUAUUGCACAAUGGGCGCAAGCCUGAUGCAGCCAUGCCGCGUGUAUGAAGAAGGCCUUCGGGUUGUAAAGUACUUUCAGUCGUGAGGAAGGUGUUAAGGUUAAUAACCUUAGCAAUUGACGUUAGCGACAGAAGAAGCACCGGCUAACUCCGUGCCAGCAGUCGCGGUAAUACGGAGGGUGCGAGCGUUAAUCGGAAUUACUGGGCGUAAAGGGCACGCAGGCGGUUAAUUAAGUUGGAUGUGAAAUCCCCGGGCUUAACCUGGGAAUGGCAUUCAAGACUGGUUAGCUAGAGUCUUGUAGAGGGGGUAGAAUUCCAUGUGUAGCGGUGAAAUGCGUAGAGAUGUGGAGGAAUACCGGUGGCGAAGGCGGCCCCUGGACAAAGACUGACGCUCAUGUGCGAAAGCGUGGGGAGCAAACAGGGAUUAGAUACC
rnacentral:rRNA from 1 species